AGGAGGAACAACCGCAGUGGUGGCAGCCAGCUCUGGAGCCCUAGAGUCAGCUCCCGCAGUAACUACGGAGCCCUCCAUCUGCAGGGCCUGGAGGCUCCGGGCAGGA
rnacentral:pre_miRNA from 1 species